AGCUAGCAGUGCAGGUAGCUAGUAACAUCCAGUAAAGAGAAGCAAAAAAACAUGGCUUCCCUGCUGGGGAAGAAGCAUAGCUGUAGAGCAAUGCAUGUGGUUCUCACAGCAUCUGGACAAAGGGACCAUGAUGUUUGUAAAUAAGUGGGGGGAGGGGGUUAAGCUCCUUUUUCGCUUUUUCUGGAUUUUUUGAGGAUUUCCUGUUUGGGAUUCUAAGUUGUUAUACGACUGUCUACCGAGCAGGUGGUUUGGGCUUCGGCUUGGCUUUUAAAGUAGGUGCGCAUGCUCUUCUGCACUCCACAGCCUCCAACUCCAUGGAUUCAUAUGUUAAGUGUUGAGACUACUUGCACUGGCAGAAGCAUGUGGGUGCGUCUGCACUUCUGUUUACCACGUUAUCAGAGGAAGUAUCGGACUUGCUCGGAACAGGCUUGUUCAUGGGUUUGGAACCAUGAAGGAACCAGGCUGUCAGGUGGACCUUUUGGAGCUGGGGGCAAAGAACCCAUCCGUUGUCCUGGAAAAGGAGAUCUGGACUGUUGGGGAAAGCCCAUGGAUGAUGGGAGACAUGAGAAGUAGAGACCAGGGAAGAGAAGUAGCACUGCCCCGAGUCCCGUCUUCAGCCGGGAACGGUUGAGAAGGAACUGAGGGGGGUGCGGGACACAGGCGCUCAGGAAGAUUCCAACAAGAUGGGAGAUACCAACUGAGCGCCUGUGUCCCGACCAGGCACUGCUACCGAAAAUCUCCAAUCAAUGGUGCCGGGACGCACCAACACCUAUAGUGGAGCACCCACAGGGACAGCACUCGAAGAAGAAACUGCACUUGUCAGCCUGCUGAACUUGGUAUAAUUGAGUGGAAUGUUCUGGGGACGCCUAAGUCGUAAGGCUGAGAUCUCCAGUCCCACCUGGAUCACCCUGAAUAUGGACAUUGGACUAUAACCUAUGGACUAAUUCUGAAAGAACUCUUUGCAACUACAAAGUUCACC